rnacentral:rRNA from 1 species
AGUGGCGAACGGGUGAGUAAUAUACCGGAACGUAUCCAAUAAUGGGGGAUAACUAAUCGAAAGGUUAGCUAAUACCGCAUACGCCCUGAGGGGGAAAGCUAGGGACCGCAAGGCCUGGCGUUAAUGGAGCGGCCGAUAUCUGAUUAGCUAGUUGGUGGGGUAAAGGCCCACCAAGGCGACGAUCAGUAGCUGGUCUGAGAGGACGACCAGCCACACUGGAACUGAGACACGGUCCAGACUCCUACGGGAGGCAGCAGUGGGGAAUUUUGGACAAUGGGCGCAAGCCUGAUCCAGCCAUUCCGCGUGAGUGAAGAAGGCCUUCGGGUUGUAAAGCUCUUUCGCAAGGGAAGAAAGAUUAUCCUCUAACAUAGGAUGAUUAUGACGGUACCUUGAUAAGAAGCACCGGCUAACUACGUGCCAGCAGCCGCGGUAAUACGUAGGGUGCGAGCGUUAAUCGGAAUUACUGGGCGUAAAGCAUGCGCAGGCGGUUUGAAAAGUCAGAUGUGAAAUCCCCGGGCUCAACCUGGGAACUGCGUUUGAAACUCUCAAGCUAGAGUAUAGGAGAGGGGGGUAGAAUUCCACGUGUAGCAGUGAAAUGCGUAGAGAUGUGGAGGAAUACCAAUGGCGAAGGCAGCCCCCUGGCCUAAUACUGACGCUCAUGCACGAAAGCGUGGGGAGCAAACAGGAUUAGAUACCCUGG